GACGUACCGAGCGAACGUUGUUCGGAAUCACUGGGCUUAAAGGGCGCGUAGGCGGGUGCUCAAGUCCGGGGUGAAAUCCUCCAGCUCAACUGGAGAACUGCCUCGGAUACUGGGUGCCUCGAGGGUGGUAGGGGUAUGCGGAACUAUCGGUGGAGCGGUGAAAUGCGUUGAUAUCGAUAGGAACUCCGGUGGCGAAGGCGGCAUACUGGACCACAUCUGACGCUGAGGCGCGAAAGCCAGGGGAGCAAACGGG
rnacentral:rRNA from 1 species